UGGAAUUUCCUCAAGAACAAAUUCGUAAGGGUCUUUCUGAUUGAUACCCAAAAGCCUGUUCCCUGCAUCAUCGCCAACAAGAGCAACAUUACCGCAGAGGUCGCCGCCAAACUUGCAGAACACAAGCUUAUAGAUAUUGGCUCGGACAUUCUUAAUACUGAAGGUACCUCUGAUUGUAUAUGUAUAGCCACUAACUUUAACGAGGGUUCCUUCAGGAAAACCGGCAACAGCGGUCCACUCAAGAGAGGAGUCAUCAGCGAAGCUAAUUGUCGCUUGACCUGUAGAGAGAAAUCCGGUACGGGCAAAGGAUGUAAUGAUCAAUGGAAGCCCGUUAUCGACCUCGCUGGGAGAUUGCACAACACUGAGGGGUAUAGUUUCGUUUCCAGUUUUGAUUCGCCGAAUACCACCGGCUAUUGUAAAUAACGGCAAUAUAUGAAAUCGGCCACCAUUUUUAACGAUGUUACCAUGCAGGUCCUUUACAGGUGCUGCAUCGGUUGAAGGAGGGUAAAAGGUUAGGACAGAAAGAAGGAAGAGAGCAAAAAGCAUUUUACUCGCCAUUUCUUUGGUUGGCUAUGGAACAAAUCUCAAUGCUUUUCUUUUCUUUGUUCAGUUAAGGUUGUGUGAAUAAAAGAAGAUGGGAGAACCCAUUUAUAGAGCUACGCGACGGUGCGAUGGUGAUAAGGUAAACAUUUUUUAUGGACAGAAAAUCCUGGUACUUAUAAAUACGUGAGAAAAAUGAGAAAAAGGAAAAUAAUACUUAGGUUUAAAUAUAUGUUUCGAUUUUCUGUAAAAUAAAUUUCUUAGUUUUGGUUGGUUAAAAAUAUUUUGCAUUUAUCUGUUUAAAAUUUUUGUUAUAUUUUUCAGCUUUUACUAAAUUUUCCAAAUCUUUUACUUUA
rnacentral:lncRNA from 1 species